ACCGACGAUAUGACGAGGCUUGAAUUCCCACCGCAUGUCGGGACGCUCCUUGCGUCCGUAGCUCGGAUUUUGGCCGACCGCGUGCGGUAACACACGGGAGACCAGCUUCCGUCCCGUAUCCUCAAAGGAUGGGGGGACGACGAUUUGUGACACCCAGGCAGACGUGCCCUCGGCCAGAAGGCUUGGGGCGCAACUUGCGUUCAAAGACUCGAUGGUUCACGGGAUUCUGCAAUUCACACCAAGUAUCGCAUUUCGCUACGUUCUUCAUCGAUGCGAGAGCCGAGAUAUCCGUUGCCGAGAGUCGUUUUAGACUUUAUAUUGCAGCACAGCGUCCGCGCACACACCGUCUCCGGGUACGCSAACGCAGGCUGUUUUUGUUGCAUGUUCCUUGACACUUUUCGUGCCGGGGUUUUGUGAUUUCCAGAAACUAAGCGCAUGAUCUAACCGGGAUUAGGACCAUACGCAGAGCCUUGGAAUCGGCGGGAACAGGAUCGGCUAACAAACCGUCCCGUCGAGAGUGAUGAUCGASCGUUCUCGGGUCGUUUUGUUCUAGGUAUCRACAAUGAUCCUUCCGCAGGUUCACCUACGGAAACCUUGUUACCACUW
rnacentral:misc_RNA from 1 species